GUGCGCGCGCCCGCGUGGAGGGAGGCCGCGGCGUGCGCGCGCCCGCGCAGUGGUGGGCGUGGCGGGAGCGGAGAAGAGCGGAGAAGAGCGGAGAACGCGUUCCGGGAGAAGCGUACUGGGUCCUUCGCUUGGUCGCCCUAAAGCGGUUUUCCUACCGCAGCGGAGUCUCUUUCUCUUCGCUCGCUUUGACGUACUUUUUUUUUUUUUCGCUCGCUUUAUGGUUCAGGGUUUCAUCUUCCCCCACGACACUGCAGGCCUUCUGCUUUCCUCUCUUUCUUCAAACCAUGGCCAAGCAGGGUUAAGUUGGUUAUUUCCCCGUCUUUCCCAAAGAACAGUCUGGUAGCCCAGGGCCAUAUAGGAAAGGCAGAUGAAGGGUUUUGCUGUCUCUGAAACAACCCGCUCUCCCUGAGGGCCCGACCGCAGCAUUAAAGUCUGAUUUUGUGGAGAGCCUUUUUGUGUGUUUGUAUGAGAGGUCCUGGGAAAUUGGGCACCAGUGUGAAAUGUCAUUAAACUGUUGCUAAUUAUGCCCCCUUUUCCGACAUUCAAGUCUGUUUGCCUUUUAUAUUGUUAUUUCUCGCAACACGAAAUCUCUCCUUGGUUCUGUAAGCAAAUUACCAAGUAAAUUACCAAGUAAGGCGACUUGCUGCGGUUUAGUAAGGAUUGAUCUUUUUUGAGAGGGAACUCAAGUUAUUUUGGGCUUCAAGACCAUCUAACAGAUAUGGUAGGAACAUUGGUUAAACAUAACCACAGCUAACCCGUAAGGAACCUUUGUUUCUUAAAUUAUUGAUUCGUUAAGUGAUGACUAGAAACUCGGCUUCUCCUUGAGUGAUGUACAGUUUUUGGGCAGUGACCUACAGAAAUCGAAUUCCUCCCUUCAGCAGUGUGUUGGUUUGGAGAACCAUGUUGGUUAAGUCAUAUUUUAACUUUGUUUUGAUAGGCACCUGGAUCUAAUUGUUGGGUAUAUAUUUCUAGCACCUCUAAAAGUACUUAGGGGUUUUUUGUCCUCCUCUUGAGGAUAAGUGUAUUAAAUAUCCCUAAUUCUCUUAAUUAUAAUGCUGGAUAGCGAGGGUGAGACGCUGUGCAAAUGUUUCAGAUAAGCAAAAGAAGGUUGCAUUUUACUCCCUUUAGGUUAAAGUAAUGAGAUCUCUAUUCUCUCUUUCAAAGUCAUGGACAGGUUCAGUAUCUUUUAAUCACUUUUUGGGGGGAAUGCUGAAUAGUUUACAAAUUACUGUCUAGAGUGUGCUAGGAGUGGAGGAGUGUAGUGGAAAAUGCAGCAGUUGACUUAAAACAGCUUCUACAUAGGGGAAAUCUAAUGGGAACAGUGCAGCUUUUCCUUAGGAUGUACUGUGAGCUGAUGUCCAAGUAUGUCCUUUUAGGCCUACGUGAAGAUCACAUGAUAGAGGUAGAGUUUUUAUUUCUGAUUACAACAAAAGGUAAGGUGAUCAUUUAUUUUUCAGUAUUUCACGGCUGUUGUUUGCAGAAAGUGUCAUGGAAGUUCUGCGUCCACAGCUUAUAAGAAUUGGUGGACGGGUUUAUAGGAAGAAUCCCAUCCAAGAACAGACUUAUCAACAUGAAGAAGAAAAUGAUGACUAUUAUCAAGGCCUCAUGGAGUGUGCAGAAGAGCCCUGUGACGCCUACGAGGUGGUACAGACCCCGCAAGGUUUCCGGUGUACCGUGAAGGCCCCUAGCCUGCUCUACAAGCAUAUAGUUGGAAAGAGAGGAGACACUAGGAAGAAACUAGAAGUGGAGACCAAAACUUCUAUUAGCAUUCCUAAGCCUGGACAAGAAGGAGAAAUUGUAAUCACUGGCCAGCAUCGAAGUGGUGUAAUUUCAGCCCGAACUCGAAUUGAUGUUCUUUUGCUCACUUUUAGAAGAAAACAGCCCUUCACUCACUUCCUUGCCUUUUUCCUCAAUGAAGUUGAGGUUCAGGAGCGAUUUCUGAAGUUCCAGGAGGAAGUACUGGAGAAGUGCUCAAUGGAUCACGGGGUUGAUAGCACCAUUUUCCAGAAUCCUAAAAAGCUUCAUCUAACUAUUGGGAUGUUGGUGCUUCUGAGUGAGCAAGAGAUCCAGCAGACAUGUGAGAUGCUACAGCAGUGUAAAGAGGAAUUCAUCGAUGACAUUUCUGGGGGCAAACCCCUGGAAGUAGAGAUGGCAGGGAUAGAAUACAUGAAUGAUGAUCCUGGCAUGGUGGAUGUUCUUUAUGCCAAAGUCCAUAUGAAAGAUGGCUCCAACAGGCUGCAGGAAUUGGUUGAUCGAGUGCUGGAACGUUUUCAGGCAUCUGGACUAAUAGUGAAAGAGUGGAAUAGUGUGAAACUCCAUGCUACAGUCAUGAAUACUCUAUUCAGGAAAGACCCCAAUGCUGAAGGAAGGUACAACCUCUACUCAGCGGAUGGCAAAUACAUCUUCAAGGAAAGAGAAUCAUUUGAUGGCCGAAACAUUUUAAAGCUGUUUGAGAACUUCCACUUUGGUACCCUAAAGCUCAAUUCAAUUCACGUCUCUCAGAGGUUCACAGUAGACAGCUUUGGAAACUACGCCUCCUGCGGACAAAUCAACUUCUCCUGAGGUGGAUCUUGGGAAACACUGGAAUUUAAACAUCCUUACAAGUUGGUUGACUCCACAGAUGUGGAACCCAUGGAUGUGGAGGGCCGACAAUACCACAUUUUGUUCAUCCAGUCUUCCAUCGAUGGACAUUUGGGUUCCUUCCAUCUCUUGGAUGGCAUAUGGGAAUGAGUGCUCCCAAAGGUAGUACUGAAUAGCUGGGUCGACUGUGGAGUUCAGUGUCCUCAUCUCAUCUUGGUACCGCUUCUGUCAUACUGGUUUCUUUCUGACAGCUGUCGUUGGGUGACCUUGACCAGGAAGUAAAGAUGUCUUCUUUUGAAUAUCAGAGGUAUGACUUACGUUUUCAGGGAAAAAAAUUUUGUCUUUGCAAAAUGUAACUUUACAUAUCAAAUGCUAAAUUCUUAACACAAUUAGAAAUUCUGUCAUUUAGUAUUUAGAGGUAACUAUGCAUUUAAGGACUUAUACUGUUAAGUAAUUUUUCACAAGUUACUUGUCUUUUUCACUCUCAUUCUCUCAUGCUUGUACAGUGGAGUUUUCCAGCAGCUAUGUGAUAUGGUGACAUCAUCACUCUGAUGGUUAUAGACCGUGCUUAUGUAUUUUUGUUUGUUUUGUAAGUUGGUAGGUAUUGGUAGAAUUGGAAAAAAAAUUAUUUAUAUUUUAAGUUUUCUCUCUAGAAGCCAGUAGACAAAUGUUUGAGACAAUGUAGCUCUAAAGAAAGUACACUUUUAACUACUGUUGUAGAAGGGGGAGUAGCAGGUAGUUUUGAUGUAGAACUUUUAGGAAAGAGCAGCAGUGUUACAGAGCAAAUAAUUUUUAAUGAAGCUAAAAGAAUUUUUCAACAUUCCAGGUCCCCUUUCACCAAACUGUAAUGGGGUCAAGGUUGGAGGAUUUAACUUCUGUGCUUAUAAUCCAUUCUCCCUUAGUAUUAGCACUUUGCAGUUUAUUCUGCACUGAAAUAGAGUUAAAUUGCACCUAACAUUGCCCCAGUUGGCUUUUGAGGUACUGACUUCACCCUCAACUCCUCUAAGAGGAGGAGGGGAAAAACAUCUCUCACCGUGAAUAUUACACAAGAUUUGUGUUAUAUAGGGAACUUUGUUAUGGACAGUAAUUUUGGUGUUUUUUGAAGAGGGCACAAUGAGUUACCCCCAGAUGAACUCCAUACCCUUGGUAGAGACAUGAUAAAUGUUACUUAUAAUGGUUGUUUUUUAAGUGAACUUCAGAGUUUAUUAAAUUGGACACUGAUGAGACUCCAUCUUCAUAAUGACACAAAGCUUGGUUCAGGUUUGCUCUUGCGCUGUGUGCUUUUCCUGGAGCUAAAGGGAACCUGAUGGGACCAGAGGAUUAUUGAGUUAAGGAACACUGCUCAGAUUCUGUCUUGAUGCUUAUAGGGAGAUGGAUAGCAAAGCCCACGGAUGCUAUAGGUGAGAAUAGGGGCUGCUAUUGUGGUUGUUUAUCAGGAAUUUUUUUGUUAUUCUUAAUAAAAUGAUCUCUUAAACAAAGGUAAAAUAAGAUUGCUGUGUGAAAAAUCAUCAAGCUAUACACUUUAUGUCUCAUGCUUUUUCCAGUGUGUAUGUUAUGCUUCAAUUUAAAUAUUUGUUUAAAAAAUAAAUUUCCUCAUCCAGAGGUUAGUACUUCCUAUGCAUUUAAGCAUAUAUGUCAUAUUGCUAAGUAAUUUCUCACAAAUGAUAACAGCUAACAUUAGCAGAAUGCUCACAUUUGUCAUUUAUUUGUGAAUAAUGUGUAUUUAUUCAUUAAAUCUUUACAAGCCCACUGAAGUUGGUGUUAUCAAUAACUACAUUUUAGAAACUAAGGUUUAACAAGGUUGAGAAAUUUACCUGAGACCAUAAAGCUUGUAUCUGUGGUUCUUAAAAUAUGGUCUUUGGGCCCCUCAGAGUCCCUGAGAUCUUUCAAUGGGCGGGAAGGUCCUACUAUUUGCAUAAAAAUAUUAAGGCAUAAUUUGCCUUUUUCACUCUAAUUCUCUCCUGAGUGUACAAUGGAGUUUUCCAGAGGCUAUGUGAUAUGGUAACAUCAUCACACUGGUGGUUAAUAGAAUGUUGUGUUUGUAUAUUUUUGUGUUUUCUAGAAUUUUGUAAGUUGGUAGGUUUAGGUUAUAGAUAUGUGUUUUUAGAGAUUCACUCAGUUUGCUCUCAGUACUUCUGCUGUGCUGUUACUAGCUACUUCCCAUUAUAGCUGCUAUUAUGGGCUGAAUUGUGUCCCCUGAGAAUUCAUAUGUUGAAGCCCUUACCCCCUAGUACCUCAGAAUGUGACUAUUUGGAGAUAGAGCCUUUAAAGAGAUGAUUGUUAAAAUGAGGCUGAGGCUAUUAGGAUGGGCCUUAAGCCAGUCUGACGAUGUCCUUAUAAGUAGAGGAAAUUUGGACACACAAAGAAACAUCAGACCCCUGACUACCAAGAUCGGCCCGCUGGGUCUGUCUCUAAAAAAGUUUGGUUGAUGAUAUUGCCUAGUAAGUGGUGAUUGGAAGGGUCUGAGAAUGACAGUGAAACUGACCAAUUCAGAACAGACAGGGCCAGGCUGAGGAAGUUCCUUCUGUGUCUGCCCUGAUCAUCAAAGCCCUCAAGGAAUGGCCAAUAGACAGAAAAAAGCAGAACAUUAAGCGCAGUGGAAAUAAAAUUUUUGAUGAG